rnacentral:rRNA from 1 species
AGUGAACGCUGGCGGUAGGCCUAACACAUGCAAGUCGAACGGCAGCACAGUAAGAGCUUGCUCUUACGGGUGGCGAGUGGCGGACGGGUGAGGAAUACAUCGGAAUCUACUUUUUCGUGGGGGAUAACGUAGGGAAACUUACGCUAAUACCGCAUACGACCUACGGGUGAAAGCAGGGGAUCUUCGGACCUUGCGCGAUUGAUUGAGCCGAUGUCGGAUUAGCUAGUUGGCGGGGUAAAGGCCCACCAAGGCGACGAUCCGUAGCUGGUCUGAGAGGAUGAUCAGCCACACUGGAACUGAGACACGGUCCAGACUCCUACGGGAGGCAGCAGUAGGGAAUAUUGGGCAAUGGGCGCAAGCCUGAUCCAGCCAUACCGCGUGGGUGAAGAAGGCCUUCGGGUUGUAAAGCCCUGUUAUUGGGAAAGAAAAGCAGCAGGUGAAUACCCCGCUGUUCUGACGGUACCCAAAGAAUAAGCACCGGCUAACUUCGUG